rnacentral:rRNA from 1 species
CUACAAAUGAAUUGACGGGACCCCGCACAAGCGGUGGAUUAUGUUGUUAAUUCGACGCAACGCGAAGAACCUUACCAGGCCUUGACAUACUCGGCAAAGCUCUAGAGAUAGAGUGGAGGUUAUCCGGGAUACAGGUGGUGCAUGGUUGUCGUCAGCUCGUGUCGUGAGAUGUUGGGUUAAGUCCCGCAACGAGCGCAACCCUUGUCACUAGUUGCCAUCAUUUGGUUGGGCACUCUAGUGAGACUGCCGGUGACAAACCGGAGGAAGGUGGGGAUGACGUCAAGUCCUCAUGGCCCUUAUGGGUAGGGCUUCACACGUCAUACAAUGGUCGGUACAGAGGGUUGCCAAGCCGCGAGGUGGAGCCAAUCCCUUAAAGCCGAUCGUAGUCCGGAUCGUAGUCUGCAACUCGACUACGUGAAGUCGGAAUCGCUAGUAAUCGCAGAUCAGCAUGCUGCGGUGAAUACGUUCCCGGGUCUU